GCUUUGCCCUAAACAUUGAUAGUACUAUCCGCCUGGGUACUACGAGCAGCAGCUUAAAACCCAAAGGACUUGGCGGUGCUUUAGACCCACCUAGAGGAGCCUGUUCUAAAACCGAUAACCCCCGUUCAACCUCACCUUUCCUUGCCCGCCUAUAUACCGCCGUCGCCAGCUUACCCUAUGAAGGCCCUUCAGUAAGCACAAUUGGUACAACCCAAAACGUCAGGUCGAGGUGUAGCGUAUGGAAAGGGAAGAAAUGGGCUACAUUCCCUCGACUACUGAAAGAAGGAGGAUUUAGCAGUAAGCAGAAAAUAGAGCGUUCUACUGAAACCGGCCCUGAAGCGCGC
rnacentral:rRNA from 1 species